GGUUUUUAGCUGUUAAUAUUAUUAUAAUUAAUUAUUACAUAUACAUUGCGAACCUCAAAUCAUUGUCUUUCUCUCUCUCGAUCGAAAAUAUAAAAAUAAAAUAAAAAAAGAAAAAGAGGAAAAGCUGUGGGAAGAAGAGAGAUUGUUGAAGAAGACGAGACGAUGGGAUUGGCCGGUGUCUGCAACUCCAUCACCGAUCCCAAAAGAAAUUGGGUGUCCCUGCUGAUUUGCUUUCUCUUAUUACUAGCUAAACCCCCCAGAUGGUGUCUGCUCAUUUAGAUGGGGAAACUAAUGUGAAGAUCAGAAAGGCAUCUGAAAAGACUUCGGAUUGUUGAACUCCAGAGAAAGUGUCUGAAUUUUGGUUGGCAAGGAGAGCAAGUUACCUUCAUGCAUGCCUAAUGUGUGCUCACUUUGCAAAGGAAUAGUUAUUACAGUUGGUCUUUGGCUUCCCUUUCUACACAACAGAAGACAUUUCAUGGAUGUUUAAACAAGAAAAUGUGGCUUUUGAGGUAAUCAAGUGACUCCUUUUUGUAAGUCAGUGAAGGAAGCUACAGAGAAAGUCAUGAUUAUGUAGUUGCUGAAAAUCUAUGUACUAUAACAUUAACUAUCUGAAUUUUUUAUUUUUGUUGAACCACAUGAGCUUUGAUACUCAUAUUAGUCUUUGCAUGGUAAUAUUAUCCAUUGUACUAAAGAAAUUGGGUUUUACUGUA